UUGCCCUAGUAACGGCGAGUGAAGCGGCAACAGCUCAAAUUUGAAAUCUGGCCUCGGCCCGAGUUGUAAUUUGCAGAGGAAGCUUUAGGCGCGGCACCAUCUGAGUCCCCUGGAACGGGGCGCCAUAGAGGGUGAGAGCCCCGUAUAGAUGGACGCCUAGCCUGUGUAAAGCUCCUUCGACGAGUCGAGUAGUUUGGGAAUGCUGCUCAAAAUGGGAGGUAAAUUUCUUCUAAAGCUAAAUACCGGCCAGAGACCGAUAGCGCACAAGUAGAGUGAUCGAAAGAUGAAAAGCACUUUGAAAAGAGGGUUAAAUAGCACGUGAAAUUGUUGAAAGGGAAGCGCUUGUGACCAGACUUGCGCCGGGCGGAUCAUCCGGUGUUCUCACCGGUGCACUCCGCCCGGCUCAGGCCAGCAUCGGUUCUCGCGGGGGGAUAAAGGCCCUGGGAACGUAGCUCCUCCGGGAGUGUUAUAGCCCAGGGCGCAAUGCCCUCGCGGGGACCGAGGUUCGCGCAUCUGCAAGGAUGCUGGCGUAAUGGUCAUCAGCGACCCGUCUUGAAACACGGACCAAGGAGUCAAGGUUUUGCGCGAGUGUUUGGGUGUAAAACCCGCACGCGUAAUGAAAGUGAACGUAGGUGAGAGCUUCGGCGCAUCAUCGACCGAUCCUGAUGUUUUCGGAUGGAUUUGAGUAGGAGCGUUAAGCCUUGGACCCGAAAGAUGGUGAACUAUGCUUGGAUAGGGUGAAGCCAGAGGAAACUCUGGUGGAGGCUCGCAGCGGUUCUGACGUGCAAAUCGAUCGUCAAAUCUGAGCAUGGGGCGAAAGACUAAUCGA
rnacentral:rRNA from 1 species